rnacentral:rRNA from 1 species
AAAUUUUAUUAGUGAAACCUCUUUAACAUUAUCAUGAAGAACGUAGCAAAAUGGGGUACUUGGUGUGGAUUGCAGAGUUCCAUGAACCAUCGAGUCGCUGAAUGCAAGUUGCACUAGAAGUCAUUAGGCAAAGGGCACGACGUCUGCUUGGGCGUCA